GCGCCGGUGGUGUAAAGGCGUAGAGCAUUCCCGCCCGGUCAGAGGGAGGUGCGGGUUCGAGUCCUGCCUGGCGCU
rfam:Heligmosomoides polygyrus genome assembly, scaffold: HPBE_scaffold0000210